rnacentral:tRNA from 2 species
GCAUUUCGGAUAGCCAGGACAAAUUGCUCCGAAGGCAAAGGUCGCACGUUCGAAUCGUGCCGGGUGCGCCA